GACGAACGCUGGCGGCGUGCCUAAUACAUGCAAGUCGAGCGAACAGACGAGGAGCUUGCUCCUCUGACGUUAGCGGCGGACGGGUGAGUAACACGUGGAUAACCUACCUAUAAGACUGGGAUAACUUCGGGAAACCGGAGCUAAUACCGGAUAAUAUAUUGAACCGCAUGGUUCAAUAGUGAAAGACGGUUUUGCUGUCACUUAUAGAUGGAUCCGCGCCGCAUUAGCUAGUUGGUAAGGUAACGGCUUACCAAGGCAACGAUGCGUAGCCGACCUGAGAGGGUGAUCGGCCACACUGGAACUGAGACACGGUCCAGACUCCUACGGGAGGCAGCAGUAGGGAAUCUUCCGCAAUGGGCGAAAGCCUGCCGGAGCAACGCCGCGUGAGUGAUGAAGGUCUUCGGAUCGUAAAACUCUGUUAUUAGGGAAGAACAAAUGUGUAAGUAACUAUGCACGUCUUGACGGUACCUAAUCAGAAAGCCACGGCUAACUACGUG
rnacentral:rRNA from 1 species